rnacentral:rRNA from 1 species
GCCCGCUCAGAAACUUAAAGGAAUUGACGGGGGCCCGCACAAGCAGCGGAGCGUGUGGUUUAAUUCGAUGAUACGCGAAGAACCUCACCCAGGUUUGACAUGCAUGUGGUACUGAUGUGAAAGCUGAGGGACCCUUCGGGGAGCAUGCACAGGUGUUGCACGGCCGUCGUCAGCUCGUGCCGUGAGGUGUUGGGUUAAGUCCCGCAACGAGCGCAACCCCUGUCGCCAGUUGUAUUUUUCUGGCGAGACUGCCGAGAAAACCUCGGAGGAAGGAGGGGACGAUGUCAGGUCAGCGUGGCCCUUACGCCUGGGGCUACACACACGCUACAAUGGGCAGUACAACGGGUCGCUAAGCCGCGAGGCGGAGCCAAUCCCAUCAAAGCUGUCCUCAGUUCGGAUUGCAGGCUGAAACCCGCCUGCAUGAAGCCGGAGUUGCUAGUAACCGCAGGUCAGCAUUACUGCGGUGAAUACGUUCCCGGGCCUU